CCGGCCCUGUAUCAAGGCCGGCAGCUUCCUAAUGCUGUUGGUUUCAAGUAGGAGCCUAAAGAGAUGUCUUUCUAUGGUCUGUCGGCCAUUUCAGAACUUGGGCAGUGAAAUGGUCAAUUCAUUAGAAAGAAACAGCU
rnacentral:snoRNA from 1 species